UACAGAGGGUGCAAGCGUUGUUCGGAAUCAUUGGGCGUAAAGCGCACGUAGGCGGCUUUGCAAGUCAGGUGUGAAAGCCCGGGGCUCAACCCCGGAAGUGCACUUGAAACUGCAGAGCUUGAGUGUCGGAGAGGGUGGUGGAAUUCCGAGUGUAGAGGUGAAAUUCGUAGAUAUUCGGAGGAACACCAGUGGCGAAGGCGACCACCUGGACGAACACUGACGCUGAGGUGCGAAAGCGUGGGGAGCAAACAGG
rnacentral:rRNA from 1 species